rnacentral:rRNA from 1 species
GACGAACGCUGGCGGCGUGCUUAACACAUGCAAGUCGAACGGAAAGGCCCUGCUUUUGUGGGGUGCUCGAGUGGCGAACGGGUGAGUAACACGUGAGUAACCUGCCCUUGACUUUGGGAUAACUUCAGGAAACUGGGGCUAAUACCGGAUAGGAGCUCCUGCUGCAGGGUGGGGGUUGGAAAGUUUCGGCGGUUGGGGAUGGACGCGCGGCUUAUCAGCUUGUUGGUGGGGUAGUGGCUUACCAAGGCUUUGACGGGUAGCCGGCCUGAGAGGGUGACCGGCCACAUUGGGACUGGGAUACGGCCCAGACUCCUCCGGGAGGCAGCAGUGGGGAAUAUUGCACAAUGGGCGGAAGCCUGAUGCAGCAACGCCGCGUGCGGGAUGACGGCCUUCGGGUUGUAACCCGCUUUCGCCUGUGACGAAGCGUGAGUGACGGUAAUGGGUAAAGAAGCACCGGCUAACUACGUG